rnacentral:rRNA from 1 species
CGGAGGGUGCAAGCGUUAUCCGGAUUUACUGGGUUUAAAGGGUGUGUAGGCGGGCUUUAAGUCAGUGGUGAAAUCUCCGGGCUCAACCUGGAAACUGCCAUUGAUACUAUUAGUCUUGAAUUUUGUUGAGGUAGGCGGAAUAAGUCAUGUAGCGGUGAAAUGCAUAGAUAUGACUUAGAACACCAAUUGCGAAGGCAGCUUGCUAAACAAAUAUUGACGCUGAGGCACGAAAGCGUGGGGAUCAAACAGGAUUAGAUACCCUGGUAGUCCACGCCCUAAACGAUGAUUACUCGACAUACGCGAUACACAGUGUGUGUCUGAGCGAAAGCAUUAAGUAAUCCACCUGGGAAGUACGACCGCAAGGUUG